ACAGGGACAACUCAACAUCCCCCCUCACGCCCAGAUCUCUGGAGCGUGGACAACAUAAAUGAGGCCCAACAUCGGUAACAAUAAUUGGGAUGGGCCUGGCUCUGAUACCAUGAUAAGAAUGGACCUUGGGGCUAACUCAACGUCAAAAGCUAGCUUAUAAGGUGAGGAUUGCCCAAGCCAUAUAAGGAGACCAAGGACCUCAAAUCCCUCCGAUGUGGGACAACUCAACACAUCGAGUCAAGCAAAGGACAAGGAUAUCAUGACUAUAUAUAACCAGGGAAAGCUUUCAACAAGGGGCUGCUUCUCCUAUCUCUUUCUAAAAAGCAAAAAAAAACUCUCUUCUUGUAUUCUUGAUAGAGAAGAAGUGGCCUCUAGGAAAAUAUGUAAAUCUGCCUCCUCAUCGAUCGAUGGGAGAUACAACAUUAAAUCUUAAUGAGAUCAUUCAUAUUUCUUUCAUCCUAUAUGCGAUCCUUACCGAAAGCUCUUUGAUCUUGAAUUAAUUAUGUAUGACUAACAUUUACCCCUUCAUCUUUGAUUGAUUUAUUCAAAAAGGUUUUAAUACCUUUUGAGUCAAACACUAUCGCGGACCUGUCAAAGGUGAGCCUGUCUAAACUGUAAAGCCUUCCUCAUGCAUGCACGUUGUUAUCAAGCCUACAAACCAUCAUCAAAAGAGAAUUAGAAACAACUUCCAGCCCAAACCUACCAGAUUCUCCAUUCUCAAUGGCAAUCACAAUCAGCUGGAUGUUGAUCCCCCUCUUUUCUCUUGCCUUUUUAAUUCUGUGGUUACUGUCAGAAGUUUAUAAGUCAUUUGAACUACCAAUAUAUCUAGUAAUAUUUCUUUGUGACAAUUAUUUAAUUAGGUUUUGGUAGUGCUUUUCUGAAUUUUAAAGAUAGAUCAAAACUACUACUAUUUGGCAAUCAAAUUUAUGCUCACUUGUUUGGUUUUCGUUACUCUUUGAGUAUGAUGGUGAUUAAGGAGGCAAACUGAUUGAUUCCAGCCGAAAGCUGCUAGUAGUAAUUAAUGUCUUUUUAAUUAUCUUCACUUACCUUAUGGUGGUAAAGUAGAAACAUGAAUAAAUUCUGGAAGCUAGCAGGAUAAGACAUAGGUGGUCAGUGGGUCACCAUUAGGUCUCCCAUCUUUGAUUUUGUUUUUAGCCUUUUGGAGCAUUACUAUACUAACAGAAAUGUCCAAUUCAAGUAUGGUGUUCCCUACUCCUAAAGCCUAAAUUUGAGGAAAAUAUUGCAUGUAAGUUGCAUUGGUAGUGCUUAAAAUUCGAACCCCGCCACAUCCCAAAAACAAAUAGGAGUAUCGGAUAAGCCUAAACUUUAGAUAUGAGCACUUUAUGUUGUGCCCCACAAUCAAAUGCUGUAGCAUCUAGGUUAAACUAGGAAAAAUAAUUGACCCUUUUACAAAAUUAAAGGGAGAAACAAAUCACCUUCUUAUCAAGAAUUACGAAUGAAUUUGUAUCAGACAAAUUUGGUUUCCUACAUUCUCAUGCUAUCUAUGCACGUCCUUGACAUAGAGAUCGGCCCAACUGAUGCAGAUCCGAGUAAGGUCGACCCCAGUAAAUGAACGGACCGAGUGACGUGACCCAAGACGACGUCGUUUGAAGCUCUAACUCUACCGUACACUAAGACCACCAACUUCUGUACUCUUCUUUGAUUAUUUCAAGGAAGGUCCCUUGAUAUAUAAAGGGGACCUUCCCUUUGUAAAGGAUCAUGUGUUUUUUGCUACUUAGAAUAUACAACUCUCUCCCUCUCUUUCUCUCUCUCUCUUGUGCAAAGAUUAUUACUUGUUCCAUUACUCUUGCAUCUUAAGAUUUUUACAUCUCAUUAUUGUUACCGAUCUUAGCUCGAUAACACUCUCUAGUCCAUAUUACACUUGAUUCCGAUUUACCCUUUUAUAUUUUCGAUUGUUCUUGAGCUUAAUAAGUAUUCACAUAACUUUUU
rnacentral:lncRNA from 1 species